GAUGAACGCUAGCUACAGGCUUAACACAUGCAAGUCAAGGGGAAACGAUAGAGAAAGCUUGCUUUUUCUAGGCGUCGACCGGCGCACGGGUGAGUAACGCGUAUCCAACCUGCCCAUCACUUGGGGAUAACCCUGCGAAAGUAAGACUAAUACCCAAUGAUAUCUCUAGAAGACAUCUGAAGGAGAUUAAAGAUUUAUCGGUGAUGGAUGGGGAUGCGUCUGAUUAGCUUGUUGGCGGGGUAACGGCCCACCAAGGCGACGAUAAGUAGGGGUUCUGAGAGGAAGGUCCCCCACAUUGGAACUGAGACACGGUCCAAACUCCUACGGGAGGCAGCAGUGAGGAAUAUUGGUCAAUGGGCGAGAGCCUGAACCAGCCAAGUAGCGUGCAGGAUGACGGCCCUAUGGGUUGUAAACUGCUUUUAUAAGGGAAUAAAGUGAGUCUCGUGAGACUUUUUGCAUGUACCUUAUGAAUAAGGACCGGCUAAUUCCGUGCCAGCAGCCGCCGUAA
rnacentral:rRNA from 1 species